CCCUUUAGACGGGGACAACAUUCCGAAAGGAGUGCUAAUACCGGAUGUGAUCAUCGUGCCGCAUGGCAGGAUGAAGAAAGAUGGCCUCUACAAGUAAGCUAUCGCUAAAGGAUGGGCCUGCGUCUGAUUAGCUAGUUGGUAGUGUAACGGACUACCAAGGCGAUGAUCAGUAGCCGGUCUGAGAGGAUGAACGGCCACAUUGGGACUGAGACACGGCCCAA
rnacentral:rRNA from 1 species